AUCUGCCAACCUUUUGCUUUGUCCACCAGACCCCUCUAAUUAAACACUAUCUAGUCUCCCACAGAGACCCUUAAUUAAAGAUUCAUCCAGGGACUGCUGGGAGGUGACAAAUACAGCCCCUUGUGAGACUGGCCGUAUCCAGCCAUUUGGUGGGCAGGAAACCUGGGGCUAUUGCUUUCUUUGAUCUAUGAUCAAAGAGGCCAACUGAGGACUCAGGGCAGCAGGGGGGAUGCAGCGAUCAGAAAAUAUGGAUUAUAGAAACGGAUCCAUAUCUUCGCUGCUUUAGGGUCCACAUUGUCAUAACUCACAUAGGAUUUAUGAGGAGGUCCCAGGCUUCCCAAGGAUACCAAAAAGGGGCAGCCUAUACCCCUCUCUGAGCAGGGAUGGGUUCUGGGGGACUGGGAUAUGAGACCCCCCUCAUGUUUGGUAUUAUUUUGAUCACCCCCAUGUGGGUUAAAACAAUUCCCUACUUACAUAAUGAUAUUGAGUACUGGCAAGUACCAAUAUUAUAUGAAAAGAAACUGGCAGGAGAAGUACAGCUCGCUACAGGGGGAGGUCCUGUGGCACACCCCUGGGCACUCCUUCCUCAUGAAUACAGUAAUGAGGGAGGGGCCCAACAGUAGGAUAAAAAAGGGCACAAACCCAGGUGCCAGUUAACUCAUAUUGUGGGGCAUCCAUGUUCUGUUGGAUUGUGAGUUCACUAUUCCUAACUCUGGCCCCAGGAGGACACAAGAUCCCGAUAUUCUUCAAACUAUGGUCUGCAUGUCUGACACCAAUGUUUUCCUAUACCUGUGGUGUUGUAAUGAGCUUGAACAAAUGUUGGACUUCCAAGAGGGUCUCACCCUGAAGAAGAGACAUCAACUCUACAAAACAAGGUCCUUGGUUCUAGGCCAGACAAGUCCUUCUACUGGUCUUAUUUGCAAGGACAUUUUAAAUAAACAGAGAUGAUAUAUUUCAACUUUAUAGGGACAAACAAGGGGGCUGUGAAUAAAUUCAGGGUACAGUACUAUUAAAUAAAAUAAUUCAGUGAUUGAAAA